AACGAACGCUGGCGGCAUGCCUAACACAUGCAAGUCGAACGAGACUUUCGGGUCUAGUGGCGCACGGGUGCGUAACGCGUGGGAAUCUGCCCUUGGGUUCGGAAUAACAGUUAGAAAUGACUGCUAAUACCGGAUAAUGUCUUCGGACCAAAGAUUUAUCGCCCAGGGAUGAGCCCGCGUAGGAUUAGCUAGUUGGUGAGGUAAAGGCUCACCAAGGCGACGAUCCUUAGCUGGUCUGAGAGGAUGAUCAGCCACACUGGGACUGAGACACGGCCCAGACUCCUACGGGAGGCAGCAGUGGGGAAUAUUGGACAAUGGGCGAAAGCCUGAUCCAGCAAUGCCGCGUGAGUGAUGAAGGCCUUAGGGUUGUAAAGCUCUUUUACCGACGAAUAUAAUGACUGUAGUCGGAGAAUAAGCCCCGGCUAACUUCGUGCCAGCAGCCGCGGUAAU
rnacentral:rRNA from 1 species